rnacentral:misc_RNA from 1 species
UCCCCCGCUUCUGGCCGCGAACCGCGCCGGUUAGGGCUGGCUCUCGAACAAAAGCGGGGGCAGUUUCGCGCGACACAUAUAACGCGCAAUAGGGGUUGCGCUCGUUACCCCACUUAAGGGAACACUUCAAAGCACGAGCUGACGACAACCAUGCAGCACCUGCGUACACCGUCCUUGUGAGAAGGACCACGUUUCCGCGAUCCGUCGAUGUACAUUUCAAGCCUUGGUAAGGUUCCUCGCUUACUAUCGAAUUAAACCACAUGUUCCACCGCUUGUGCGAGUCCCCGUCUAUUCCUUUGAGUUUUAAUCUUGCGAUCGUACUUCCCAGGCGGCCUGUUUAACGCGUUAGCUUCGCCACUCCGAGGGUCGAUACUCGAAACAGCAAACAGGCAUCGUUUAG